GAAUCCGGAAAAUAGGUACACAUAUAAUAAAUUAUCCUUUCAUCUUCCACUUUCCCCGGUUUUUCUAUUGUUAAAAACCGCAGUCAGGGGAUUUCACUCACGGAACUUCCAACUUAGCGAUGGGGACGGCCUCGAAGUCCUACUCUCGUUGGAGUCCAGAAGCCACCCGAGCUUUCAUUGCUGCGUGCGAGACCGCCAUUGUAGAGGGGCACUGAGGUCUUUAUUUUACAAAACACGAUGGGAACGAGUCGCCUCACUCUUCAACUCAGUGAUCAGCCAUAACUGGACCUACUAGCAGCUGUGAAAUCAUUGGGAUUCAAUGCGUCGAACAUACAAGCGUCUAUCGGAACUUGUCAACAGUAGCGGGAUUGAGUAUAAUGAUGCUACCGGCUGAAUCGUUGCUUCUGAAGAAUGGUGGCACAGGAAGAUUUAGAAGAACAAGGAUUAUAAAGACUUCAAGGACAAGGACGUCAGCGAGAUAUACAUAAAGUACCGUAAGUUAUUCGACGACCGCUACGACGGAGAUAAGUAUACUAUGACUCCAACGAAGUUGUACAAAACGGGCUUCAGCAUGUACGAGGAUAGUGAGCUCGAGGACACUAGGGAUGCAAUCUCGGUGGACGGAGAGGGCAGUGGUUCGAGCGAUGAGGUCGAACAGGCGGGGGUUGGUGACUGCGUGAACGUUUCGAGCACAACAAGUGGCAGUAAAAGAAAGUCGUCUAGCGGGCAGCGUAGGGCCAGGAAGAAAUAGAUAUCCGCUCGUGAAUUGUCAUUCUUAGUAGACUGCGCUACCAGUGCGGCGAAGGAAAUAGCGACACAGAUUCAUACAAUGAUGGCUUCAAAUGAAACUACUUGGACGGACUGCGUCCAAGAGCUAUUAGCGACAGGCCGCCUCGAGCGACGGACACCUCUUUAUUUCUUCGCAUGCCAGCUUCUAGCCCAGAAGUGAUACCAUGACAUGCCUGUCGUCAUGAAAAACGCAGAUGCGAAAUUUGAGUGGAUUGAAUGGAUGUUCAGUGACCGUGGGAAGUAACAAUGUAAGUGACUGUGUGCCUUUUUUUUCUUUGCCGUCUGUAUGAAAACUGUUGUAUUUUCGUUGC